CACUCUGGAGGGGCGGGGGAAUUGAUAAGUUGGGACGACCGGACAGCUUCUCAGGUUGCUAAGCGACGAGGCGGGAGCGCACGCACACCCUGGCUGCUUUGUAGCACCUGAGGAAACUGUGGCGGCGGCGGCGGCGUCCUGGAGACCCAAGAGACCAAGCGAGCGUGUCGCUCCCUCUCGGGUCCGAGGACCUAGCCUAGGAACCUUCUGCCCGGGGUAGUGUCUGGUGAUGAGGCGAGAGUUUUGCUGGGACGCCUACUCCAAAGCGGCCGGGAGUCGCGCUUCUUCCCCACUCCCGAGACAGUUGAUUGAAGAUCAGCAAACAUUGAAAAAAAGUUAAUUGUGCUAUCUGGUUAGCCGAACUCAAACUCACGAUGACAGAAACAAGAAAACUCACUUCCUGUCGUAAGAAGGAGGUUCCCCACAGACAUUGAAUUAACAACUGGAUGAAAACUUCAAGGAAACUGGGUCCAUAGUUCACAACAAGCCUAGAUCUGGGAGAUGCCAGCAAGCAGAAAAACUGUGGCUGAAAUUGAGGCAGUGUUAGCAGAGUCCCAAAAGCAUGCACUGCACAUUUGCUGAAUUGAAUAUUCCAAAACCACAGGUUACAGAAUUCUAACAGUGAAAUUCCGAAGCAUACCUAAAUGUAUAAAUGCUACAAGUUAACCAGGCUGAACUUGGCUUCUGUCAUCUAAUGAAAUGAGAAAAUGAAAUUUCCAAAAAUAUUCUUGACAAGUUGACCCUUAUAAUGAAG
rnacentral:lncRNA from 1 species